rnacentral:rRNA from 1 species
AUACGUAGGGGGCGAGCGUUGUCCGGAAUGAUUGGGCGUAAAGGGCGCGUAGGCGGCCCGGUAAGUCUGGAGUGAAAGUCCUGUUUUUAAGAUGGGAAUUGCUUUGGAUACUGUCGGGCUUGAGUGCAGGAGAGGUAAGUGGAAUUCCCAGUGUAGCGGUGAAAUGCGUAGAGAUUGGGAGGAACACCAGUGGCGAAGGCGACUUACUGGACUGUAACUGACGCUGAGGCGCGAAAGUGUGGGGAGCAAACAGGAUUAGAUACCCUGGUAGUCCACACUGUAAACGAUGAAUACUAGGUGUGCGGGGACCGACCCCCUGCGUGCCGGCGUUAACACAAUAAGUAUUCCACCUGGGGAGUACGAUCGCAAGGUUGAAACUCAAAUGAAUUGACGGGG